CCUACGGGAUGCAGCAGUGGGGAAUAUUGCGCAAUGGGCGAAAGCCUGACGCAGCGAAGCCGCGUGAGGGAUGAAGGUCUUCGGAUCGUAAACCUCUGUCAGCAGGGAAGAACGGUCACUGUGCUAAUCAGCAGUGAAUUGACGGUACCUGCAAAGGAAGAACAGGCUAACUCCGUGCCAGCAGCCGCGGUAAUACGGAGGGUGCGAGCGUUAAUCGGAAUUACUGGGCUUAAAGCGCUCGUAGGCGGUAUGUCAAGUCAAGGGGGAAAUCCCCGCGCUCAACGUGGGAACUGCCUUUGAAACUGGCAAACUGGAGUGUGUGAGAGGAUAGUGGAAUGCCAGGUGUAGGAGUGAAAUCCGUAGAUAUCUGGAGGAACAUCAGUGGCGAAGGCGACUAUCUGGCACAUAACUGACGCUGAGGAGCGAAAGCGUGGGUAGCAAACAGGAUUAGAUACCCUGGUAGUC
rnacentral:rRNA from 1 species